AAUGUAAUGAAUACAACAUUAAUGCAUCGGAUCCCAUUAGAAAUCCACAUGUAAGUGUUCUUGGGCCAGAGUAGUAAUGGGAUGGGUGACCUCCCAAGGAGUCCUAGUGUUUUACAUGC
rnacentral:rRNA from 1 species